rnacentral:rRNA from 1 species
UCAAACAUGAGAGUUUGAUCCUGGCUCAGGAUGAACGCUGGCGGCGUGCUUAACACAUGCAAGUCGAACGAAGCACCUCAGAUUGAUCUCUUCGGAAGGAUAUCUCUGGUGACUGAGUGGCGGACGGGUGAGUAACGCGUGGGUAACCUGCCUCAUACAGGGGGAUAACAGUUAGAAAUGACUGCUAAUACCGCAUAAGCGCACAGUACCGCAUGGUACAGUGUGAAAAACUCCGGUGGUAUGAGAUGGACCCGCGUCUGAUUAGCUUGUUGGCGGGGUAACGGCCCACCAA